rnacentral:rRNA from 1 species
UACGAAGGGGGCUAGCGUUGCUCGGAAUCACUGGGCGUAAAGCGCACGUAGGCGGCUUUCUAAGUCAGGGGUGAAAUCCUGGAGCUCAACUCCAGAACUGCCUUUGAUACUGGAGAGCUCGAGUCCGGAAGAGGUGAGUGGAACUCCGAGUGUAGAGGUGAAAUUCGUAGAUAUUCGCAAGAACACCAGUGGCGAAGGCGGACUCACUGGCCCGGUACUGACGCUGAGGUGCGAAAGCGUGGGGAGCAAAGCAGGG